rnacentral:rRNA from 1 species
CAAUAGCCGCGGUAAUACGUAGGUGGCAAGCGUUGUCCGGAAUUAUUGGGCGUAAAGGGCUCGCAGGCGGUUUCUUAAGUCUGAUGUGAAAGCCCCCGGCUCAACCGGGGAGGGUCAUUGGAAACUGGGAAACUUGAGUGCAGAAGAGGAGAGUGGAAUUCCACGUGUAGCGGUGAAAUGCGUAGAUCUCGAGAGGAACACCAAUGGCGAAGGCAGCUUCUUGGUCCAUUCCUGACGUUCAUACACGAAAGCGUGGGGAGCAAACAGGAUUAGAUACCCCAGUAGUCCCUGUCUCUUAUAC